GGGUUAUUUCCCCCUGGGUUUAGCAGCUGUCAGUCCAUCCCUUGCCAAGAGGAUGAGCUGAAACAUCUGGAGGAUCCAUGGACCCCCUCCACUGACUCUGUUAUAAUGUGCUAUGAGAUGAGCAGCCAUAUGGAGAAGCACACCCUCAGAAUUACCUCCGCCCACCAGUUUCUCAGAGCUACAGAAGGGUGCGUGGUCACAGGGCAUCACGGUGGACCCUCCGGGCGGACGGACGGCACCAGGGAG